GACGAACGCUGGCGGCGUGCUUAACACAUGCAAGUCGAACGGAAAGGCCCUGCUUUUGUGGGGUGCUCGAGUGGCGAACGGGUGAGUAACACGUGAGUAACCUGCCCUUGACUUUGGGAUAACUUCAGGAAACUGGGGCUAAUACCGGAUAGGAGCUCCUGCUGCAUGGUGGGGGUUGGAAAGUUUCGGCGGUUGGGGAUGGACUCGCGGCUUAUCAGCUUGUUGGUGGGGUAGUGGCUUACCAAGGCUUUGACGGGUAGCCGGCCUGAGAGGGUGACCGGCCAGAGUGGGAAUGAGAUACAGCACGGACUGAGACGGGAGGCAGCAGUGGGGAAGAGUGGAAAAUGGGCGGAAGCAUGAUGCAGCAACGCCGCGGGAGGGAUGAGGGCCUGCGGGUUGGAAGAAGCGUUCGCCUGGGAAGAAGCGUGAGUGACGGUAAUGGGUAAAGAAGCACAGGCUAACUAAGUG
rnacentral:rRNA from 1 species